rnacentral:sRNA from 1 species
UGCUUUCUGCAAUAUUGACGAUUCGAACCUGCAGCAGGUUCGAGCCGAACGCAGUGAGGCACCGGAGCCGUUUGAGGCGACGGCCCGAAGGGCGAGCGAAGCGAGUCAUCCUGCACGACCCACCA